CCCAAAAUAAACCCAGCUCUCUCUCUCUCCAUCUCUAGACCUUCGACGACACCAACGUCAGCCAAAACGGUGACGUUUCCAACCGCGCCGCCCUUCUCGCUCUCCGCUCCGCACCGCACCAGACCCCUGUAGCUUACUGGUUUUGCCCCAAGACGACGAAGAUGCCCAUUUUCUCUCUACCUUCUUCUUCUUCACACCCAAAUUAAUCACCAUAACCACCACUGAGCUCUCUCUCCAUACCCAACCACCAAUCCCAUUGCAAUCAACACCAAGCCUAAAUGCCUUCAUAUCUUCAUGAAAUUACCCUUUACAUUCUCAGAAAACCCACUUCAUCACUUUAGAUUUACUAGGCCUGAUUUGGAAAUACAUAGUGGAGAAUGAACAACUCUUUCAUUCUUACGAAACUCUGCUCGUCAGCUAACUUCGGCGUCUAAAAACUCCAUCUUCUGUUGCUCAGAUAGUCACGACUUCUUCAUAAAAGUUGUUCAAAAUCGAGUCUUCUAAACUGUCUUCAAAUGUCAUGAAAAUCCAACGGUUGAAUCUUCCAAAAUCAAGUCCCUCUUCGAAAUGGGUCGAGUUCUUCUCUUGAGAUUGAAUUCAAUUCAUGAAGUACUCAUUUCAAUCUUGAGCAAGUUGAAGCCAUCAAGGAGAGAGAGAGGCAAAAGGAGAACAUAUGCAAUCUGGGUACCCCACCCAGCCCAACACCAACGCCGCCCAGCACCCGCCGAAACCCACCUAUCUGCUCUGGGUAUUUGAGUUUUUGUUAACGAAAUCCGGGAUCUAGUGAUGAUUCUGGUCAUGGGUAUGCAUAUCCUCGGUCCAGCGAGAAGAUGAGGAUGAGAGCUUCCGGAUAAAGACCCUCUAUUAACCAGACGGAGAUCAGGAGAGAUGUGAAAGAAGAAGAGGUAAAAAGAAAAAAAAGAAAAGAAAAAAAAGAAGAAUAAAAUUAAUUAAAAAAGAAAAAGAAAAAGUAAGUGAGGGUAUAAUAGACUUUUUAGGGGGGAAACGACCGCCACGUCAGCAAGAUAACGGAGACUUUGACGGAUGCUUGACGGCAGGGACCAAUUGAGAGGAAAUUGGGAGUUUAGGGACUUUUUAGGUGAAAUU